rnacentral:snRNA from 1 species
GAACCGGGACGUGGCGGU